CGCGCCUUUUUUAAACCGUCACAGUCACUUAAUCCAUCUCCUCACACAGUGGAAACGCUGGAGCUGGCAGGUCGGUGAGGACGGAACACGCUUACAGCUCAUUCAAGUGCCACUGGUCUUGCAGUAUUUCAUCUUUUCCAAACAACCGAGUAAAUUUACAGCUCAUUCAAGUGCCACUGGUCUGUUUUUGGAGAAUUUCAUCUUUAAGGUGCUGUGAGAAAGAGCCAUGUCUCCCGUGCCGCCACUGAUGAUGACAUUACAAAACACGUAAUACGGUGGUUCAACUUGGCAGCAGAUAGGGGAAACUCAAGGAGCCGUCCCACUGUCAGCACCCAACAGUAGCGUUUCGGUGUUUCACAGUUAACUUCUGUGUUUUGAAGUGUUCGUUUAACAGUUAAGUAGUAACAGUUGAGAUAAAG